rnacentral:rRNA from 1 species
AGCGAACGCUGGCGGCAGGCCUAACACAUGCAAGUCGAACGGACCCUUCGGGGUUAGUGGCGGACGGGUGAGUAACACGUGGGAACGUGCCUUUAGGUUCGGAAUAGCUCCUGGAAACGGGUGGUAAUGCCGAAUGUGCCCUUCGGGGGAAAGAUUUAUCGCCUUUAGAGCGGCCCGCGUCUGAUUAGCUAGUUGGUGAGGUAACGGCUCACCAAGGUGACGAUCAGUAGCUGGUCUGAGAGGAUGACCAGCCACACUGGGACUGAGACACGGCCCAGACUCCUACGGGAGGCAGCAGUGGGGAAUCUUGCGCAAUGGGCGAAAGCCUGACGCAGCCAUGCCGCGUGAAUGAUGAAGGUCUUAGGAUUGUAAAAUUCUUUCACCGGGGACGAUAAUGACGGUACCCGGAGAAGAAGCCCCGGCUAACUUCGUG